UCUGCGGAGGCCAGGCCACGGGGAGGACCAGCCCGGCGGCGGAGGCCAAGGCCGAGGCCGAGGCCACGGCCACAGCGGCCACCGGGCAGCCAGGCGGGAGGGAGGGCCUGACCCCCAGCACCGGGGCAGCGGCAGGAGGCCGGGGCUCGUCUGCGGCCCGAGCCAUGGCCAACAUCGCCGUGCAGCGGAUCAAGCGGGAGUUCAAGGAGGUGCUGAAGAGCGAGGAGGAGGAAGAUAUCAGCUAGAGAUAAAAAUACCAGAAACAUAUCCAUUCAACCCUCCUAAGGUGCGGUUUAUCACUAAAAUAUGGCAUCCCAAUAUUAGUUCUGUAACUGGAGCCAUCUGUUUGGAUAUCCUGAAAGAUCAGUGGGCAGCUGCGAUGACUCUCCGGACAGUAUUGUUAUCCUUGCAAGCAUUGUUGGCUGCAGCAGAACCAGAUGACCCCCAAGAUGCAGUGGUAGCCAAUCAGUACAAACAAAAUCCAGAAAUGUUUAAACAGACAGCACGACUCUGGGCACAUGUGUAUGCUGGAGCACCAGUUUCUAGUCCAGAAUACACCAAAAAGAUAGAAAACCUUUGUGCUAUGGGCUUUGAUAGGAAUGCAGUAAUAGUGGCCUUGUCUUCCAAAUCAUGGGACGUAGAGACGGCGACAGAACUGCUUCUGAGUAACUGAGCCACAGGGAGCGCAAGCGCUGCCGAUCCAGGACAGCCUGCCUCUUCCCGGGAACACCGCCGUCUGCAUAGAUUCUUUUAAAACUGGCACUCUGGCCUGCCCACCUCACCUAGGCCUCAGCGGAGACUGAAAAAACUGCUCUGUAAAUAAAGCUAAUUAAACGUCUGUGUACAUUUAAAAAGGGGAAAUACUUUAAUUUUUUCUUACGAAAUAGUGGAGAGGUUCUUCGAGCUGAGGUCAGACCAUGGAGGAAACGUGCAUCUAUAGUAUUUAGCAGGUGUGACCAAGACUAGCAAGAGUUGGCUUCAGGAUUUUGUUGAGUAACGAUCCACGUAACAUUUCGAGUGUGUCUUAGUCAUCCCACUUGUCGGUGCUGCUCAUCUGCGCGAUCUUGCUGUCGUUACCACGGACCCCCGUGUGCCUGUGAAUUACCUGCAUGCUUGUGCUUUACUGGGGGAGAGCGAGCGUGAGAGCGAGAGAGAGCUCAUGAGAGAGAAUGUGAAUAUCUAGUGGAGGGUUCUUCCAGGAGAGCUCUGGAAAACUCAUGCUUCGCCCCAAAUCGAGAGGUGAGGAGGCCUCUAAGGAAUCAUUUUCUUGUUGCUGUUGAACGGAAUGCUUCUUCCUCCCCCUCCCCCAGCCUCCUCCACAUACGUCUUUCCUCUAGAGCCAGAUUUUCUCCUUUACUCGGCGGGGGACGUGCUGCUUCUAGUGGCCCGCUGGGUUUGGGAUGUUUGACCAGAACUUUUCACACCCAGUCUUAAAGGGGUUCCUGCGUUCGUGACCGUGUCGAACCGGGGUGUUGGAUCGGAUUGCUCUGAUGGUUGAUAGGGCGAGUUCGCCCUGAGCACUGGGGACCAGGACUCAGCCGGUGGAUUGGCAUGAAUUCUCUUUUAAACAAAAGCCGGCUCAGUACACGAAUAUUUGCUUUGAGUUCUUCCUUCCUAUGAUGCAGUCAUCGGUUUGCCACAGUUUUUUAGCUUUGGACUCUGUUGUAGGGAUUGCAUAUCAGGUACCGUAAGAUUUCCUCUUGCUUGCCUUUUUCCCCUCGUUGACACAUGGAAGCUGUGUUAGUGUUUUACUGUACAUACUUCAAACAGUGGAGAAGUGUUCGCAAAUCAGCGUUCUUUUCGUUGCUCCUGAUAAAACAAGAAUUAAUCUUAUUUGCUUUUGUACAUAGUCGGACUUUCUCUGUUCGUAUUAAAUUGACAUUUCAUCCUCGGUUCACAAGUUUGGAAAUGAUUAGUUUUGGGUUUUUUUUAAAUCUUUAUAAUUCAAGCAGCAGUAGGCAGUGAUACUUGGGAAAACAGUGAUUCUUUUCCCUGGAUGGGGUCAGGUCAAAGGCAGAAGAGACAAAUGAAACGGUCCAAGUAAGUGGCCUGAAUAAUUAGGCUAGGGUUGUGGGUGGGCAGGUUCCCUUCCCUCAACUGCUUCUGGCCCGAAAGUCCAGUCAGGCGGAGAAUUGGUGUGAUACCAGGAGUUUGCUCUCCCUUCACCUUCGACGUUUUCCUUCUCGAUUCUGGAAGCCGUACGGUCAUUAUUAAAUGUAUCGAGCUGUUGGACCGCGAAGAUUAGCGGGAACUCACAUUCUUCCACAAGGUUGGGAUUUCUCACAUCGAGCAAACUCCACAGUUGGAUCGUGUGAGUGCUUAUCAAAAGUUGAUUGUUUGGGCUGUCUUUUUUUCUGUUGAACAAUCCUUUGUAGCAUCGUGCUUUUCCCUGUUACUGCGCUUGUUUUCUAAAGAUGCCAAAGGAAACUCUAUUUUGCUAUCUGCCGGCCAUUUGGGAUGGAUAUGUGCUUUGCUGUCCUUGAAUGGGCAGUGCUCCUUGUUCUGGUGGCGAAAGUUUGCAUUGUUUUUGCUCUAUGAUGUCAGACACAGAGGUAACAGGGCAAACGAACUUUUCUACUGUCACAUAGAAGAGAAAACUGACGAGGACCACCACACCUUGCUUAAAUGGCGUUAGUCUUAAGAAACGGAAGAUGUUCUCUUAACUGUAAGUCGUUCCUUUCACGCUCGCCCCCACCCACGGGAAUUUAGAAGGUGAGGUCCUGUAGCGUGCUCUCGUGAUGAACUAUAUUUCAUCUGGCUACUGCUUUGGUCCUGAAGUUCAGAAGAAUGGCUAGGCUGCCUGCCUCCCCUCCCAGUGACAAUCAUUAAGAGAAGAAACCGUCUUCAUUGCUAAUUUCAUGUGCUUGAGACCCAGACAUUUUUCGAGACUUGGGGUCUGGAAGGGACGUCACGGGGGAAAACCAGGAUGGGUUUCCGGGAUUUGGAAGUCGGGAGUUUCGGAACUAAAUAUUUUUGGCAUCUUUCAUUGAGGGCGGUAGUGUGUGGGUGGACUGGACCUUCUGGUACUUUUGACAAAGCAAUAAGAAAAUGCUGGACUUUAGAUUUCAGAGGAAAUAUUCUCUUCUGUUUUUCAAUUCAGUUUCUGUGAUUGGCUGCCACUAGAUGACACCCGAAAAGUUGGCCUGAGGUAAAAGCAUUUAAAUGAAGGACUUUGUUAUGAAAUGAACUGCUGGAUUUGGGGCCCUAUCGUUGCUUCUAAUUGUGCUUUCCCCUCCACUUAAAGAAACAGCACCCAGCACCUAAGACGUCACCAUAAAAAUCGGACUUUCCUUUGGGCCAGCGACUUCUUCAGUGGAACUCGACGAUGUCUUCAACGCGGGAAAUCAGCAGCCCAUGGUGCUUUGUGUGUGUGUGUGUAUGUCGCGGCGGGGGAGGGAGGCGUCUUCUGUCCUCAGAGGCAUUCUCCCUAACUCCACCAAAGAAGAGCCUGCCUCACAAGUCGCUCCUCAUCUCGCUUUUUGGAAAAGAAAAAAGAAACAUUUGUAGGAGCCAUGGGCUUGCCCGCUAAGGGGUGGAAUCGCCAGGGAGGGGAGGACUCAAGUCAGGCUUGUCUGGAGAAAGCUAAAAGAGACUUUUUGUACACGUGAUUUAAAAAAAAGAAAUAAAUUCACAUUUGAAAAGCUGCUGGCUUGUUUUCACUGAGAAAUAUGUUGCAAUAAAUGCUCGUUUCCCUGAAA